CCGGGUAGAUCUUAUACUCAUUACUUUCUAUUGAAGCCACCAAAUCUGAGGAUCGAAGCAAUUAUCGAAGCUCUUCAAGAAAAGAAAGUGGUGAUUCUACUAGAUGACAUAUCCUGUUACUACAACCCGUAGCUACCUUUGUUAUAUAUGUUAAUGACCAGCUUGUUGGAACAUGUUAAUGGAGUUUAUGCAAGAGAUGAGUCAGCAAAGGUAGCAGAUAAACAGCAAAGACAGACCGUCAAUGGGAGCUCCACCCCUUCUUAGUGAUCUGUGUUUUCGUUUACUAGUAAUAUGUAAUGUGAGACUCUUAUUAUUUUGUCUAGGACGUGUUGUUAAAAA